rnacentral:rRNA from 1 species
AGAUCAGUUUUCCUUCGGGACCCGUAUAGAGGUGCUGCAUGGCUGUCGUCAGCUCGUGUCGUGAGAUGUUGGGUUAAGUCCCGCAACGAGCGCAACCCUUGCCUGCUGUUGCUAACGAGUAAAGUCGAGCACUCUGCAGAGACUGCCGGUGAUAAACCGGAGGAAGGUGGGGAUGACGUCAAGUCCUCAUGGCCUUUAUGCCCCGGGCUACACACGUGCUACAAUGGGCGGUACAAAGGGUCGCAAAACCGCGAGGUGGAGCUAAUCCCAAAAAGCCGCUCCCAGUUCGGAUUGGAGUCUGCAACUCGACUCCAUGAAGUUGGAAUCGCUAGUAAUCGCGGAUCAGCACGCCGCGGUGAAUACGUUCCCGGGCCUUGUACACACCGCCCGUCACAUCACGAAAGCCGGCUGUACUAGAAGUCGCCGCUCCGACCCGUAAGGGGGGAAGGCGCCCACGGUAUGGUCGGUGAUUGGGGUGAAGUCGUAACAAGGUAACCGU